CUGGGACUGAGACACGGGCCCAGAUUCCUACGGGAGGCAGCAGUGGGGAAUAUUGCACAAUGGGCGAAAGCCUGAUGCAGCAACGCCGCGUGAGGGACGACGGCCUUCGGGUUGUAAACCUCUUUUAGUAGGGAAGAAGCGAAAGUGACGGUACCUGCAGAAAAAGCACCGGCUAACUACGUGCCAGCAGCCGCGGUAAUACGUAGGGUGCAAGCGUUAUCCGGAAUUAUUGGGCGUAAAGAGCUCGUAGGCGGUUUGUCGCGUCUGCUGUGAAAACCCGAGGCUCAACCUCGGGCCUGCAGUGGGUACGGGCAGACUAGAGUGCGGUAGGGGAGAUUGGAAUUCCUGGUGUAGCGGUGGAAUGCGCAGAUAUCAGGAGGAACACCGAUGGCGAAGGCAGAUCUCUGGGCCGUAACUGACGCUGAGGAGCGAAAGCAUGGGGAGCGAACAGGAUUAGAUACCCUGGUAGUCCAUGCCGUAAACGUUGGGCGCUAGAUGUGGGGACCAUUCCACGGUUUCCGUGUCGCAGCUAACGCAUUAAGCGCCCCGCCUGGGGAGUACGGCCGCAAGGCUAAAACUCAAAGGAAUUGACGGGGGCCCGCACAAGCGGCGGAGCAUGCGGAUUAAUUCGAUGCAACGCGAAGAACCUUACCAAGGCUUGACAUAUACGAGAACGCUCUAGAAAUAGAGAACUCUUUGGACACUCGUAUACAGGUGGUGCAUGGUUGUCGUCAGCUCGUGUCGUGAGAUGUUGGGUUAAGUCCCGCAACGAGCGCAACCCUCGUUCUAUGUUGCCAGCGGUUCGGCCGGGAACUCAUAGGAGACUGCCGGGGUCAACUCGGAGGAAGGUGGGGAUGACGUCAAAUCAUCAUGCCCCUUAUGUCUUGGGCUUCACGCAUGCUACAAUGGCCGGUACAAAGGGCUGCAAUACCGCAAGGUGGAGCGAAUCCCAAAAAGCCGGUCUCAGUUCGGAUUGAGGUCUGCAACUCGACCUCAUGAAGUCGGAGUCGCUAGUAAUCGCAGAUCAGCAACGCUGCGGUGAAUACGUUCCCGGGCCUUGUACACACCGCCCGUCAAGUCAUGAAAGUCGGUAACACCCGAAGCCGG
rnacentral:rRNA from 1 species